rnacentral:rRNA from 1 species
CAUCCUCCAAGGCUAAAUACUCCUGACUGACCGAUAGUGAACCAGUACCGUGAGGGAAAGGCGAAAAGAACCCCGGCGAGGGGAGUGAAAAAGAACCUGAAACCGUGUACGUACAAGCAGUGGGAGCCCCACCACUAAGCCAGUGGUGAACUCCACAUACGCAUCCUUUGCUGAAGGCAAUGGUUGGCGGAGCGUAAGCGACGCCCAACACAAAAAACAAGCAGAGGGGGCUUAGUGGUGGGGUGACUGCGUACCUUUUGUAUAAUGGGUCAGCGACUUAUAUUCUGUAGCAAGGUUAACCGAAUAGGGGAGCCGGAGGGAAACCGAGUCUUAACCGGGCGUUAAGUUGCAGGGUAUAGACCCGAAACCCGGUGAUCUAGCCAUGGGCAGGUUGAAGGUUGGGUAACACUAACUGGAGGACCGAACCGACUAAUGUUGAAAAA